rnacentral:rRNA from 1 species
GACGUAGGGCGCGAGCGUUGUCCGGAUUUAUUGGGCGUAAAGAGCUCGUAGGCGGCUUGUCGCGUCGACUGUGAAAUCCCGCGGCUCAACCGCGGGUCUGCAGUCGAUACGGGCAGGCUAGAGUUCGGUAGGGGAGACUGGAAUUCCUGGUGUAGCGGUGGAAUGCGCAGAUAUCAGGAGGAACACCAAUAGCGAAGGCAGCUCGCCGGGACGUUACUGACACUGAGGCGCGAAAGCGUGGGGAGCGAACAGG